UCAAGAUCACAUGGAUAAGUAAUAUGUCCCUUUCAUAUAAAGAAUUCAGAGAACAUCUGACUGAAUGACAAGCCAUUUUUCAGAAAACUGUAUUCUGCCCUUUUAAGUACAUCUAUUUAUCAUAUUUUUCUUAGUAUACAUUUCUUACUAGUAGAACAUGCUAUUCUUAAGUUACAUUACCACUGUUUAUCUAUCCCUGGUCCCUCCUCUCCUAAAAUCUUCUAGUGCUGAAGAGACAGCAAGUGUUUGGUGUUUGCAUAACAGAAGCUGAGGCAUUCAUUGAGAUGUACUCUGCAUGUACAUUCUUUUUGUUACUGAAUGUGAUAAUAGAAGUAGAGUGUGUUAAGGAGCCAAUUCUUUCAUACAAGACAGCCUGUCAUACAGACUGUCCCUCUUCAGUGGAUUACAUUACAACUAAUCAAGUGUUUAAGCUCCUUUUAAUGCUUUGCUUUCUGCCCACAGGUAAUCUUGUGCAAGUAGCAAUGAGACUGCAUUGCAUGAUAUGAAAGCAUUCUUACAAAUACUUCUCAGGGACAGAGUUCAUUACACAUCACUGUGACUCUCAGAACAAAUUAUACAUGUUUUAUGUAGUCCAAGUUGCUAUGAUUCUCCAAAAUUAAAAAAACAAUCAUGAAGUGGCUUGUACUCCUUUGAUGUAAGAGUCUGUACCUACUACAUUUAAAGAAGAAAGUGAAGUUUGUGCCAUGCUAAUGUCUCUGGUGCCUCUGAAUACAAAGAGAAACGGAACUGAAAGUUGAGGAGCUCUUGUGGAUGAUGAAUCUGGAACUGGAUUUCACCUUUGCCCACCAAAGUGCAGAAAGGCUAGGAGAUCAUCUAUGAUUAUCCUGCUCAGAGCCGAUCUCAGUGCAGAUCCCAAUGGAACUCCAUGGUAACGUCCCAUUUGCUCACUUUAUGCCACUGACAUCACAAAGCUAACUGACCACCUCUAUCAAUAGCACAGGUCAACUGUUCCUUCUGCUUCUUCCACUGUGGUUACAGCACAGAGCAGCCUGUGAGGGCAUCAUGGGCUCCACUUGAGUCAACACAAGCCUGACCUUCAGAGGUGCCAAUUACUUUUAGCAAGUAAAUGUGGAUCUUUGGCUGUGGGCGCUUCCUUGGCAGCAGGCGUUGAGCGGCAGCCUCACAAAACCCAGGGGGAGAUCCUUUCUGCUCUGUUAGACUUCAGUUGCCUGCAAAAUCAGCAGAGGUGAGAUCCUCCAUCUACAAUGUUAUCUGACUUUGGGGAACUUUAUGCAAAGCCUUUUCCCUACUCCCUCACUUCCCUACAACCACCUAGUCUAUACACUUCAGGGAGCCAAAUAUUCAUACCAUUAAAUUGUUAACAAGUAGCUUGCCAAAUCUUUGCCACUAGGUGUUGUAACCUUUCCUUUGCUAUUCCAUGGAAGAUAUGUUUAGGAUCUGCCACUGUCCCCUGUAAAGACGAAGCAUUUCUGUGUGACUUUUCAGGAAACAAAGCAAUUAACAUGACUAUCUUACAAUUGUGCCAUCUUUUAUGAAGUUUAUGGCCACAUAAUAGUUCAUAAUUAAAAGAAAAAUAAAAACUGAUGGAAAACUUAUGAAUAUAAGAGGUAAAAAGGGAAAAUGUAGAAGUAAUGAUCUGAUUUGCAGUCCUUAUUCAAACAGAACAGUCAGUGAAGUAAACAGGAGCUUUAUCUCAUUAAGAAAAGCAGGCCUCCAAACUGAACGUACUCAUGGCUGCAGCAUAUCAACCAGUUAUGUGAACCAACUAUCUCAUUACUGUAAGUUGCAAAACACUUAAUUUAUUCAUAUAAAAUUGAAUGUUCUAUUUUACAAUGCGUUAAUCCAGAGGGAUCAGAAAAUGAUUCUAACAGUGAAACAUUUAAGGAUUAAGUACUGUAUAUUUUAUUGAUUUACAUGACAGGUGAAAAUAUAUCUCAGUUAUAAGGCUGUCAGAAUAAAAGAACCUCCCACAAUUUCAACCUAAUAUACAUUUGGGGGUGGAGAGGUUGAUAUUCAGGCAAAGAUGAACAUUUUAACCUUUGAACAUUACAUCUUUUCCUAACUUUCAGAAACGGGUUCACUGACAUCUCUUUAUUUCUAUAAAAACUAGAAAAGGACCAAGUAAAAAGGACAUAUAGAACCUACAGUGAAGUCAAACCUGGACCCAAUUUAUAUUUUUUUUAAGAGUUAGAGCACAUAGCUAGAACCACAGUUAACCUCAUGUUUUCUGCUCCAGGAAAAAAAUCAGUGCAAUAGGUAAUAAAAUUGCUUCUCCAUCUAUUCUAGUCAUUAGUACUAAACCAGGGUUCUAACUAGUUCUCUUUCCACGAAAGCUGAAUCUCAAUUUUGCAACUAAAUGUUUCAUUGUAAGAUCCUUU